UUUCUUUCAGUCUAGAUCUCACAUCAAUAUCAAAAUGCUUCAAAUUUUCACCAGUUAUCUUGCGUGAAUGAAUAUUUGAAUACUGGACGUGUAAUUAGCUACAAAGGGAAAUUAAUGUCGGAUAUAAGUUCUCAAAUUGUUUGAAAUGUAUGAAUAUACGUUUCCAUUUCAUAAUGAAAGGAUCAAAGGUGAAGAUGAUCUGGGCCAGAUUUGAAAAAAGAACAGCGAGUUGGGACGAGUACUGUGAAACACCAAACUGGAUGAUCUAGCAAAUUCUUUCAGAAAUAUAUGUUCAUUACACUCCUGAAAUAUGUUUCACAAAUAAAAGACCUUAUAAAACCAAGUGUCAUUACAAAAGAAGUCUGCCAGAUAGGAGUUACGUUCUCAUAGAUUACAAGCUCCACCUCAUAGCUCUCACGGCUACUGGUCAGACCAAAGAGCAAAAUUAUAUCUGUAUUGCAAAUAGAUUCCACCAGUUUCACCCACUUUUCGACGUAUGCUAUUCCAUUC